GAUGAACGCUGGCGGCGUGCCUAAUACAUGCAAGUAGAACGCUGAAGGAAGGAGCUUGCUCUUUCCGGAUGAGUUGCGAACGGGUGAGUAACGCGUAGGUAACCUGCCUGGUAGUGGGGGAUAACUAUUGGAAACGAUAGCUAAUACCGCAUAAUAACAGUUGUUGCAUGACAACUGUUUGAAAGGUGCAAUUGCAUCACUACCAGAUGGACCUGCGUUGUAUUAGCUAGUUGGUGGGGUAACGGCUCACCAAGGCGACGAUACAUAGCCGACCUGAGAGGGUGAUCGGCCACACUGGGACUGAGACACGGCCCAGACUCCUACGGGAGGCAGCAGUAGGGAAUCUUCGGCAAUGGACGAAAGUCUGACCGAGCAACGCCGCGUGAGUGAAGAAGGUUUUCGGAUCGUAAAGCUCUGUUGUAAGAGAAGAACGAGUGUGAGAGUGGAAAGUUCACACUGUGACG
rnacentral:rRNA from 1 species